UACAGAGGUCUCAAGCGUUUGUUCGGAUUCAUUGGGCGUAAAGGGCGCGUAGGCGGUGCGGUAAGUCACCUGUGAAAUCUCUGGGCUCAACUCAGAGUCUGCAGGCGAAACUGCCGUGCUGGAGUAUGGGAGAGGUGCGUGGAAUUCCCGGUGUAGCGGUGAAAAUGCGUAGAUAUCGGGAGGAACACCUGUGGCGAAAGCGGCGCACUGGACCAUAACUGACGCUGAGGCGCGAAAGCUAGGGGAGCAAACAGG
rnacentral:rRNA from 1 species